UCAGCCCAGCGGUGCGCCUAGGCCCAUGGCCACCUACUCCUACCGCCCGGGCCCCGGGGCCGGCCCAGCUGGAGGCGCGGCGCUGCCCGACCAGAGCUUCUUGUGGAACGUUUUCCAGAGGGUUGAUAAAGACAGGAGCGGGGUGAUAUCGGACAACGAACUUCAGCAAGCACUAUCCAAUGGCACAUGGACUCCAUUUAAUCCAGUGACUGUCAGGUCAAUCAUAUCCAUGUUUGACCGAGAGAACAAGGCUGGCGUGAACUUCAGUGAGUUCACUGGCGUCUGGAAGUACAUCACAGACUGGCAGAAUGUCUUCCACACCUAUGACAGGGACAACUCUGGGAUGAUUGACAAGAACGAGCUCAAGCAAGCACUCUCAGGUUUUGGGUACCGGCUCUCUGACCAGUUUCACGACAUCCUCAUUCGCAAGUUCGACAGACAAGGACGGGGGCAGAUCGCAUUUGACGACUUCAUCCAGGGCUGCAUCGUCUUGCAGAGGUUGACCAAUAUAUUCAGGCGUUACGAUACGGAUCAGGACGGCUGGAUUCAGGUGUCAUAUGAACAGUAUCUGUCCAUGGUCUUCAGCAUCGUAUAGCACUGGCCUUUGCAAAUAGCAACAUGACUUAUGGAAGGAAGACUAAAAAUGCCAAAUCUCCCUUUAAGGAAAUGGGACACAGAUGCAGCUAGAUACUGUUCUUCCUUUAGAUUUUAUAUAAUUAACAUUUGGGGACCCGACUGUAUAUACGUGGAUAAGCUGAUAAGGUUUUUGCAAAUGUAACAAUAGUUGUAAUCAUUAUUCACAUACAGACAUUUGAUUUGAGACUGUUCAGUUGUGCCAUGAGUUAAGAUAUGAUAAUGUUUCAGAUAUCCUGCAUGCAAAAAAUUCAUCAUGUGCAUUUCUAGAUAGCUCCAGGUCUAUAGUGGAAAUACUUUUAUUAGCCAUUAGGAAUUUAAAAAUAAUACGGAACCUGCACAGAGGCUUUUAUGUGCCUUACAUUUUUUAAAAUGGGGUUUAUUGUAUUUGUUUGAAUAUGCAACAUAAGCAAUAAAGCAAAUGCACCCCCC